AAGUCGUAACAAGGUUUCCGUAGGUGAACCUGCGGAAGGAUCAUUAACACGAAUCCUACCUUAUAAACCCAAAGAGAUCUUUUAAUGCACUCGAGAUUAUAUUGAAUCCUUCUAUUUGAUGGCAAGAUCUAUUCGUCAAGUUGUCGCCGUUAGUUGACUGUAGAUCAAUUUGCCUCAAAUAGAGCCGUGGUUCUUAUAUUUCUCGGUGCGAACUAACUUUGUUAAUGGCGAACUAUAUUUACUAGCAUCUGAAAUUUAUGGAAUGACGCCUUAAGAGAGUGAAAACUUUCGGGCUCAUUUCAAUUAAACCAAUUUAUUACAACUCUUAGCAACGGAUAUCUUGGUUCUC
rnacentral:misc_RNA from 1 species